GGCUGAUCUAAAAAACGCUCAAGGUGAGCAUUCCUGUUCUCAAUUGCUGAUAACCUUUGGUCCAUUAUUUUAAUGAGGUCAAUUGACAAUUGAGGCGCCGCCUCUGCAUUCCCUGUACAAUAUAAACGACCAAUACUGAAAAUAGGGAAUCUUCUCCUCAUUCUGGAUACAAAUAACGAUUUUAUUGACCCAAUCUUACUUCGGAAUAACCCAUACGUCAAAAGGAAGAACACCGAGAUUGGCGAGACUGA
rnacentral:misc_RNA from 1 species